rnacentral:pre_miRNA from 1 species
CCACUACUCCCUCCGUUCGGAAUUACUUGUCUCGGAAAUGGAUGUAUCUAGAACUAAAAUACGUCUAGAUACAUCCAUUUUUGCGACAAGUAAUUCCGAACGGAGGGAGUACUAU